CCUACGGGAGGCAGCAGUAGGGAAUUUUCGUCAAUGGGCGCAAGCCUGAACGAGCAAUGCCGCGUGAACGAGGACGGUCUUCGGAUCGUAAAGUUCUGUUGAAGGGGAAAAAGAGCGGAGAGAGGAAAUGGUCUCCGAUUGAUAUUACCCUUCGAGGAAGUCACGGCUAACUACGUGCCAGCAGCCGCGGUAAUACGUAGGUGGCGAGCGUUAGCCGGAAUGAGUGGUCGUAAAGGGUGCGUAGGCGGCCUGCUAAGUCUGGAGUGAAAGGUACCGGCUCAACCGGUACAGGCUCUGGAAACUGGCGGGCUAGAGAGCAGGAGAGGGCGGUGGAACUCCAUGUGUAGCGGUAAAAUGCGUAGAUAUAUGGAAGAACACCAGUGGCGAAGGCGGCCGCCUGGCCUGUUACUGACGCUGAGGCACGAAAGCGUGGGGAGCAAAUAGGAUUAGAUACCCGAGUAGUC
rnacentral:rRNA from 1 species